rnacentral:rRNA from 1 species
GACGAACGCUGGCGGCGUGCUUAACACAUGCAAGUCGAACGGUGAAGCGCCUUCCUUUUUGGUGGGUGUGGAUGAGUGGCGAACGGGUGAGUAACACGUGAGUAACCUGCCCCCUUCUUCUGGAUAACCGCAUGAAAGUGUGGCUAAUACGGGAUAUUCUGGGUCUGUCGCAUGAUGGGUCUGGGAAAGAUAUUGUUUCGGUGGGGGAUGGGCUCGCGGCCUAUCAGCUUGUUGGUGGGGUGAUGGCCUACCAAGGCGGUGACGGGUAGCCGGCCUGAGAGGGUGGACGGUCACACUGGGACUGAGACACGGCCCAGACUCCUACGGGAGGCAGCAGUGGGGAAUAUUGCACAGUGGGCGCGAGCCUGAUGCAGCGACGCCGCGUGAGGGAUGGAGGCCUUCGGGUUGUGAACCUCUUUCGCCAGUGAAGCAGGCCUGCCUCGUUUGUGGGUGGGUUGACGGUAGCUGGAUAAGAAGCGCCGGCUAACUACGUG